rnacentral:lncRNA from 1 species
AUGGAUUCCAGUAGUCCGAAGCAAACUGAUGACUGCCAAGAGUCCCAAAGAGAUGUAUUUGAAUUUUCUGCUCCUUUGGAAAAUGUUAACAACGUAAUCAGGAAACACAAGAAAAAGUCUGCAGUGUGGCAUAGAGUUUCUAAAGUGAUUUCUAAGAUGGUCGAAGAAAAUGGACAUUUUCGAAACCGACUUAUACACUGCAGCCAACUUUCAAAUGAAGGAAGAAGCCAUUUUUGGAUGGGUGUAAGGCAUAAAAAUGAGAAAAUGAAGCUUUAUUAUGAUGAGUAUUAUUAUUGGAUUGUUUUAUAUUUUGUAUUUGAAAAUAGGUUUGUUGUUCCUAUUUGCCAUCAAGUCAAAUUCAACUUAUGGAUGACCUUAUGA